rnacentral:rRNA from 1 species
CCUACGGGUGGCUGCAGUGGGGAAUAUUGGACAAUGGGCGAAAGCCUGAUCCAGCCAUGCCGCGUGUGUGAAGAAGGCCUUCGGGUUGUAAAGCACUUUCAGUGGGGAAGAAAGCCUUGGGGCUAAUACCCUCGAGGAAGGACAUCACCCACAGAAGAAGCACCGGCUAACUCCGUGCCAGCAGCCGCGGUAAUACGGAGGGUGCGAGCGUUAAUCGGAAUUACUGGGCGUAAAGCGCGCGUAGGCGGUCUGAUAAGCCGGUUGUGAAAGCCCCGGGCGCAACCUGGGAACGGCAUCCGGAACUGUCAGGCUAGAGGGCAGGAGAGGAAGGUAGAAUUCCCGGUGUAGCGGUGAAAUGCGUAGAGAUCGGGAGGAAUACCAGUGGCGAAGGCGGCCUUCUGGACUGACACUGACGCUGAGGUGCGAAAGCGUGGGUAGCAAACAGGAUUAGAUACCCCAGUAGUC